rnacentral:ncRNA from 1 species
GAAGCGUGAACCAAGCGGCGGCGAGAGUCGCGUGAGACUUGGAGCUGGCCUCGGCAACGAGGCCAUGCA